rnacentral:rRNA from 1 species
GAUGAACGCUGGCGGCGUGCCUAACACAUGCAAGUCGAACGUGAGGGGGUAGCAAUAUCCUUGAAAGUGGCGCACGGGUGAGUAAUACGUAGGUGACCUGCCCUGGAGUGGGGGAUAACAGCUAGAAAUGGCUGCUAAUACCGCAUAAUACCGAACUACUGGGAAGUAGAAUGGUAAAAACUCUGGUGCUUCAGGAGGGGCCUGCGGCCGAUUAGCUAGUUGGCGGGGUAAGAGCCCACCAAGGCAGUGAUCGGUAGCUGGUCUGAGAGGACGAUCAGCCACACGGGAACUGAGACACGGUCCCGACUCCUACGGGGGGCAGCAGUGAGGAAUAUUGGGCAAUGGGCGCAAGCCUGACCCAGCAACGCCGCGUGGAGGAAGACGGCCUUCGGGUUGUAAACUCCUUUUACGGGGGAAGAGGAAGGACGGUACCCCGCGAAUAAGUCACGGCUAACUACGUGCCAGCAGCCGCGGUAAUACGUAGGUGACAAGCGUUAUCCGGAAUUACUGGGCGUAAAGCGCACGCAGGCGGCGCAUUAAGUCUGACGUGAAAUCUCCCGGCUUAACUGGGAGGGGUCGUUGGAGACUGAUGUGCUUGAGGCGGUGAGAGGGGUGUAGAAUUCCCGGUGUAGUGGUGGAAUGCGUAGAUAUCGGGAGGAAUACCAGUGGCGAAAGCGGCACCCUGGCACUAGCCUGACGCUCAUGUGCGAAGGCGUGGGGAGCGAACGGGAUUAGAUACCCCGGUAGUCCACGCGGUAAACGAUGAAUACUAGGUGUGGGGGGAGUGAAAUCCUUCUGUGCCGAAGCAAACGCGCUAAGUAUUCCGCCUGGGGAGUACGGCCGCAAGGCUAA